rnacentral:rRNA from 1 species
AUGUCGCUCGUCGUCGCGCCGUCACGAUCGCCGCCGCUGGAGCCGAUCAGUCGCCCGUCGCCAUUGUCGUCACUCAAGCAGGGGAAUUCCAGGGGACGCCACGAACGGGGAUGGACUGCCCCCUGCGUGGGCUGCCUCCGGACUAAGAACAGGGGAGCGCUCUGGGCUGCUAUGAGCCGGCCCAACUUGUACGCGCCCAACGUGCACAACAACGACCAAUCCCAGUUUCAGUCUGCCACAUCAUCAAUCCUGUUUGGAAGAGCGAUCAGGGUUCAAUUUGGACCGGGAUUAGAAAGUUGA